rnacentral:misc_RNA from 1 species
GCUCAAGUCAAGAGGAACAACGCCAUGGCAAAUUCCACCGUUUCGCCUCGAAGGACUCGUAAAGUGGUCGCCAAGCCCGAGAAGGGCAGGUGGCAAACGCUGUUUAGUGUUUUCACCAAGAAUUUUGUGCUUUUGCUCGUGUUAAUAGGGUUGGUGCAGAUGGUUAGGAGGCUGGCUCUGAAACCAGGGGAUUAUUCUACAUCGGGGACACAAUUGGGAUUAUCGGAGUUUGAGGCCCGAAUUGCGGAAGUUGAAUCGUUUCUGAAGACUACUGUGAAAAUGAUUCAGGUUCAAGUGGAGGUUGUCGAUGCGAAGAUUGAAAACGAGGUUGGAGGGUUAAGGAGGGAAAUGGACAAGAAGAUUGAUGCCAAAAGUGUAUUUUUGGAGAGUGAGUUGAGGCAAUUAGUAGCUAGAAAUGAAGAACUGGAGAAGUCAAUGGGUGAGUUAAAGGCUGUGGGCUGGUUGUCCAAGGAGGACUUCAAAAAGUUUUAUGAGGAGUUGAAGAAGCAACAGGGCAGUGAACUUGGUGAAAGUAAUGUAAGUUUGGAUAAAAUUAGGACAUAUGCGAGGGAGAUAGUGGAGAGGGAAAUUGAGAAGCACGCUGCAGAUGGGCUGGGAAGGGGGGACUAUGCACUGGCAUCUGGUGGGGCCAUGGUUGUGAAACACUCAGGGCUGGGAAGGGAAGCAGCUGGUUCUUGAUGAGUGGCCGAAGUGGUAUUCAUCCUGAUGCGGUUAAGAUGUUGAAACCAAGCUUUGGAGAGCCUGGGCAGUGCUUUCCACUCAAAGGAAGUAGAGGAUUCGUUCAAAUUAGGCUUCGAACAGCUAUCAUUUCUGAGGCUGUUACUCUGGAACAUGUUGCUAAGAGUGUUGCUUAUGACCGGUCAAGUGCUCCGAAAGACUGUCGGGUGUCUGGGUGGCUGCAGGGGAAUGACAUAGAUCUUGCAAUUCAUACUGAGAAGAUGUUUCUUUUAACUGAAUUCACUUAUGACCUUGAUAAGAGCAAUGCUCAGACCUUUGCUGUGUUGGACUCUGCAGCCUCUCGUGUUGUUGACACUGUUAGGCUGGAUUUCGUAUCCAACCAUGGAAGCUCAUCCCAUACUUGCAUUUAUCGCCUUAGGGUGCACGGUUAUGAACCUGAUUCUGUUUCAGUGAUGACAAUGGAAUAUUGAUACCAUCUCUU